rnacentral:rRNA from 1 species
AUUGAACGCUGGCGGCAGGCCUAACACAUGCAAGUCGAGCGGAUGAAGGGAGCUUGCUCCUGGAUUCAGCGGCGGACGGGUGAGUAAUGCCUAGGAAUCUGCCUGGUAGUGGGGGAUAACGUCCGGAAACGGGAGCUAAUAUCGCAUACGUCCUGAGGGAGAAAGUGGGGGAUCUUCGGACCUCAAGCUAUCAGAUGAGCCUAGGUCGGAUUAGCUAGUUGGUGGGGUAAAGGCCUACCAAGGCGACGAUCCGUAACUGGUCUGAGAGGAUGAUCAGUCACACUGGAACUGAGACACGGUCCAGACUCCUACGGGAGGCAGCAGUGGGGAAUAUUGGACAAUGGGCGAAAGCCUGAUCCAGCCAUGCCGCGUGUGUGAAGAAGGUCUUCGGAUUGUAAAGCACUGUAAGUUGGGAGGAAGGGCAGUAAGUUAAUACCUUGCUGUUUUGACGUUACCAACAGAAUAAGCACCGGCUAACUUCGUG